rnacentral:rRNA from 1 species
CCUACGGGAGGCAGCAGUGGGGAAUAUUGUGCAAUGGGGGAAACCCUGACACAGCGACGCCGCGUGAGCGAAGAAGGCCUUCGGGUCGUAAAGCUCAAUAGUAUGGGAAGAUAAUGACGGUACCAUACGAAAGCCCCGGCUAACUACGUGCCAGCAGCCGCGGUAAU